rnacentral:rRNA from 1 species
AGAGUUUGAUCCUGGCUCAGGAUGAACGCUGGCGGCGUGCCUAACACAUGCAAGUCGAACGAAGCUCUUACGACAGAACUCUUCGGAGGGAAGAUGUAAAAGACUGAGUGGCGGACGGGUGAGUAACGCGUGGGUAACCUGCCCUAUACAGGGGGACGAACAGUUGGAACGAACUGCUAAUACCGCAUAAGCGCACAGUACCGCAUGGUACAGAGCGAAAAACUACCGGUGGUAUAGGAUGGGCCCGCGUCUGAUUAGCUAGUUGGAGGUGUAACGGACCACCAAGGCGACGAUCAGUAGCCGGCUUGAGAGAGUGAACGGCCACAUUGGGACUGAGACACGGCCCAAACUCCUACGGGAGGCA